rnacentral:tRNA from 1 species
UCCCUGGUGGCUCAGACGGUAAAGCAUCUGUUCACAAAGCAGGAGACCCAGGUUCGAACCCUGGGUUGGGAA